rnacentral:lncRNA from 1 species
AUUACAGAUACAAAUAUCCGACCAAAGAGCAGACAACAGCCGAAGGUCACAAAUGAUUCUUCAAUGCAGUGAGAAACUCUCGCAUUCGGAGGCGUACUUCAGCUGGUCCCUAAACUAAAACGUAUACUAGUUCAAUGCUAAUGGACGUCAUUCUGAACUCUUAAAUAUACACAAGAAACUACAAUGAAAAAUCAUACAAGACUAACAAAAGGCCUCAGGCUCUUGACCUGGGACAGGCGCAAAAAUGGGACCGGGUUAAACGUGUUUUUUUAUAUAUCUCAACCCUUCCUCUAUACCUCU